UUCGUCGUCACAUGCUUCGCUGUAAUUUGACAGCUCUCCCUUCUACAACUGCUGCGCCUCGCUUGCACUUCACGAGCCCGUCCGAUGACUUCCUGAUUGGAUCGAGGUCUGCUUCUCUGCUCUGCGACGGUAAUGUUGCUGCGGUUGUUCAUCGUAUCCACUCUCCGCCUCUGAAGGUCCGGUUCGAGUCUCCCUUCGCAGUUCACCACUUCUCACCGGUGUGAGUGUGGCACCAGGAGCUCUCCUUCGUCGAAAACGAAGGCUCUCCCAGAUGUGGAACUUGCUGCUACAAUAAUAGAGAAGGGCAACACCGCCAGCCGUCGGAGAGAAGGUCGCCAAAGAUGAUGGCAGUUUGUUUAAGGAUGUCGUUCAAGUUGAAGGGCCCAAUUGCAAAAAACGACACCAUAUCGUGUUCCAUACUCUUCUUCAAAUAAAGUAAUGGCGAAGAAGAAGAGCAUCAAUGGUCGCCCCGCAAUUCCAAGUACAACAUAAUGAUUCCAACUAUUAUCACCAAUACGAUACCAACGAUGGCUUCAAAAUAAUUUUUUUUCCCAAAACAAUGAUUCCAACUAUCAUCUCAAAUUGAAUCCUUAUUGAAGUUUUGUGGCCUGC
rnacentral:lncRNA from 1 species